rnacentral:rRNA from 1 species
GGGUUGUGAGGUUAAGCGACUAAGCGUACACGGUGGAUGCCCUGGCAGUCAGAGGCGAUGAAGGACGUGCUAAUCUGCGAAAAGCGUCGGUAAGGUGAUAUGAACCGUUAUAACCGGCGAUGUCCGAAUGGGGAAACCCAGUGCAAUUCGUUGCACUAUCGUUAACUGAAUACAUAGGUUAACGAGGCGAACCGGGGGAACUGAAACAUCUAAGUACCCCGAGGAAAAGAAAUCAACCGAGAUUCCCCCAGUAGCGGCGAGCGAACGGGGAGCAGCCCAGAGUCUGAAUCAGCUUGUGUGUUAGUGGAACGGUCUGGAAAGUCCGACGGUACAGGGUGAUAGUCCCGUACACCAAAAUGCACAGGCUGUGAACUCGAAGAGUAGGGCGGGACACGUGGUAUCCUGUCUGAAUAUGGGGGGACCAUCCUCCAAGGCUAAAUACUCCUGACUGACCGAUAGUGAACCAGUACCGUGAGGGAAAGGCGAAAAGAACCCCGGCGAGGGGAGUGAAAAAGAACCUGAAACCGUGUACGUACAAGCAGUGGGAGCACCUUCGGGUGUGACUGCGUACCUUUUGUAUAAUGGGUCAGCGACUUAUAUUCUGUAGCAAGGUUAACCG